ensembl:lncRNA
AUGUUAGCCUCCAAAAGGGAAGAAAUUCCUCAUACUUCCCACUCCUCACCCUACAUUUCUUGGACAACUGGAUCUGCUUCAAAGUGUCCCCCUGUCCUGUUUAGGGAGUGGUUCAUCUCUUCUUCACAAGAAAAAUCUUCCUCAGCCCCUUGGAGCCGAAUGUUCCCAUUAAGAAUUAGGAAUCUCCCAGCAUUGAGUUAGGGCAUCCAUCUAUGCUCCCCACCCAUCCUUCUUCAGAACACAAUCUCCUUAACCAACAAUAGUAACAAAUAAAUAACCCGAAUCAAAAUGAUUCUUUCCUGGGUUGCCCUCUUCUGAGUGUCUAAAGCCCAGCUUAGUGGAAGGCAAAAGGAUCAGCGGUGGAUGGACGUUGUGCUCUUUCUAGUCUCCAGGACUUGACCUGAAACCUUUAACUGGUUGGCUCAACAGUUUCACCCUUGGAAGCCAACGUCCCUCUAGCAGGAAGCCCUUGGCCCCGAGUCCUGCAUCCUCCUUCAGGCUCUCCCUUUGUGUGGCUUCCUGCACAUCUGCCUGUGGCUGGGGUCAUUCCUUGUGGGCACCACAGCUUUUGUCUGCAUCUGGACAACUCGAUGUGCACCCGUGCAUUGGAAUAAUUCUGUCUGCGAACACUUCUAUCCUGCUGUUAGUGUUCCUCUAAUUCUCGGGUACGUAUUCGGGUACAGCUGCAUAUAUGUUCUGUGUACAGUCAGGUGACUCAGCUCAAGCCUGAUAUCGAAUAUGUGCGACCUCCUGAGUCUGCAUGGGGAGAAGGAAGUGUGCAAGUGUAAACCCGGGGCUUUAGGUGGGGUGCCAGGUUAAUAAGGCCUUCUGCCCCGGGGCCUUCUAGGCCUCUCUUACACCUUCAUCUCCCCAUCUUCUUAACUUUCCAGGAGGAGGGCGAUCCUCCGACGAUCCUGCGCCUUGCUCCCAUCGGAAGGGUUGAGACAGCCUCUGGGCUCUCUUCUGGUGGAUUUUGGCCAGGCCAGGCUAAGCCACAGGGGAGGAGGGGGGUCUCCUCAAGACUCUCGGGCACACCCCGCCACCACGCUGGCCAACUGGGCCAGUGCGUCACGGGAUCCUGGGGAAACUGCAGGACCCAAGAGUGGAAAACAAGGCGCCUCGGGUGAGUGAUCUACGUGUUUGGGGGCGAAACUCUCCUCCUCGGCCUCCCGGGAGCGUCUGUAUUUGUAACUGGGAACUGGCCUGGGCCCGCCCCCUCGGCCCCUCCUCCCUCCCCCGCCUCGGCGUGCUGGGUUCUGCGGCCUCAGGAGGGUGCUCCCCGGCCAAGCCCAGGCACCCUGGGGCCACGCCAUCCCUUAGAGCCCUUGGAGAGGCCUAGGGGCCUGGAGCAGGAAGAAGGGUACCACGGAGGGUGGCUCAGGGUCGUGCUGCGAAAGCCUUGAGACUUUUCCCUCCGCCCGGAGCCUCCUUGCGGGCCCGCGCGUCUUCCAGGCUCUGAAGCCGGCGGGAGCGCUGGCUUCCGGCGUGCGGGGAUGGGGAUGCGGGUAGCACCCCUGCGACUCGAAGCUGCUCUCGCAGGGAUCCUGCGGGGACCACUGCGUUCCUGGAAUCCUGUAGACGUGUUUUCUCGUGAGUGUGAGAGAGAAAUAUGCGUACUCGUGGCUAACUUCAGGUCAGUUUGUUCGUAAAAGGACGUGGUCAGUACGUCGGUCUGUCUCUCCUGAACAUUCCCACAAAGUGAAGCCGCCUCUCCCCCACCCUUCAUGCAGCUUCCCAGGCCCAGCCAAAAGGCCAAGGCCCCAGGGGCCCUGAGGCCUGGAGAGGUGAGGCCCUUGAUCUAAGCCCCAGUAUUCUGACCAUAAGGUCCAAGCUGCCCAGAUGCCCACUCAGGAUCAACCUAGAAAGCCUACGUGGGUAAGGGGAACUCAAGGAGCUAUCGCUACAGCCAGUGAGGAGUGGAGUCCCAGCCUCGGCGCGCUGGACCUACAGACCUGGCGUCUCACUGCCGACCCAGUCAGGGAUCUGGAUUGGCGGUGGUGGGGGAGGGAGGGAUGAUGGAGUUGAGCUGGUACAGGAUGGAGGCGAGAAUGAAACAAGGGGAAAAAAGAAACUAGACUGGGUGGGGUGGAGAUGGAGUAGGGUCAGCUUCAGAUAGCGCCGGCUUUUGCCCUGCUUUGGGGAGGUGCGUCGGACUGCGCCGCUACCCCCCCCCCACCGGAAAAUAAAGCUAAUGAUGUAGUAAUUUAGGAGGGGGUAAGGGGCUGGGCGAGAGGAGGGAGGAAGGAUGGGGAACGCGCGCCCCAGGAGUGAAGGCAAACAGCUGUGGAGGCGCUGCCUGCGGCUCAGGCUUCCCUACAGGUUAGCUAGACAGGGAUCCACCCGGCAUUUCGCAGGAAAGGGUGGGGGGUGGGGGGAGACUGAGCGAGAGGGGGAGAGAGCCUCACAAGAGGACAGAGGGAGGGAGAGAUAGGAGCCAGAGUGCGCGCCGCGCGGUUUAAAAGGAGACACUUACACUUCCUAAUGAAUAUUUAUCCGCCGCUGCUUCCUGCUCCCGGCUUCCCUUACCUUUCCGCAGGUAAGAUCCUCCCUGCGCCCCAGCCCUGGGGGCCCUCCCAGCUCCCCCAGUUAGUCUAGGGGCCACCGUGGCCGGGAGGAAGGGCUCUUAGCAGCAGGGGAGGGGGAGUAGGAGGGCGACUCCCUCGGGGCUGGGCUUGGGCGCCAGGACUGGGGACACUGCACUGCCAAGGCCGCGGGCGUGGGCUACCUGUGUGGAGUGGGUGUGAGUGCUGUAUAAGAGUGUGAGUGUGAGAGGGAGAGGAUGUGCACCCGUGUGCGCGCUCGCCUCUUUCCCGCGCGCUCUGAAGAAGACAUUUUCCGACUUUUCACUCGGUCGCCCCGGAUUUCUUGCCUUUGCUUUUCUCUGU